rnacentral:rRNA from 1 species
GAUGAACGCUGGCGGCGUGCCUAACACAUGCAAGUCGAGCGAGAAGCUAGCGACCGACACUUCGGUAGAGGGAGCUAGUGGAGAGCGGCGGACGGGUGAGUAACGCGUAGGCAACCUGCCCUUCACCCAGGGACAGCCUCCGGAAACGGGGAUUAAUACCUGAUGACCCGGUAGUGACACAUGUCACCAUCGGCAAAGAUUUAUUGGUGAGGGAUGGGCCUGCGUCUGAUUAGUUAGUUGGUGAGGUAACGGCUCACCAAGGCGACGAUCAGUAGCCGACCUGAGAGGGUGACCGGCCACAUUGGAACUGAGACACGGUCCAGACUCCUGCGGGAGGCAGCAGUGGGGAAUAUUGCACAAUGGGCGAAAGCCUGAUGCAGCAACGCCGCGUGAAGGAUGAAGGUCCCUUGGAUUGUAAACUUCUGUCCAUAGGGAAG